AAACAAUACAAUUAUAAUCAAUUUGCUAUACCAUGAAUGAGUCAAUUAUCAUACUUGAUAAGAUUAACACAGCAGGGCGUACUGUGCGCUGCUAUACUUACCUUGCACGGCAUUCAUCGGUGCUCCGAUUCGGACAACCCAGGCAAUCCUCCUGCGGCCAAUCAGGCCCCCCGGCCCAUGUGAUCAUGAUGUAAUCAGAAUCACAUGGAUGGAAUAGCCUUCCAGGCUGCUCCCUGCAGGGGGACUGCCUGGGUUGUCACUGAAAAAAAGUUAUACAAAUUGUUAAGCGC